rnacentral:rRNA from 1 species
AAAGUGGCGCACGGGUGAGUAACACGUGGGUAAUCUAUCCUUUGGUGGGGGACAACAUCCCGAAAGGGGUGCUAAUACCGCAUAAGUCCACUUCGGUGGGGAAAGGUGGCUUUGGCUAUCGCCAGAGGCUGAGCCCGCGUCCCAUCAGCUUGUUGGUAGGGUAAUGGCCUACCAAGGCUUCGACGGGUAGCUGGUCUGAGAGGAUGAUCAGUCACACUGGAACUGAGACACGGUCCAG